rnacentral:rRNA from 1 species
GAUGAACGCUGGCGGCGUGCCUAAUACAUGCAAGUCGAGCGGACGGACGAGAAGCUUGCUUCUCUGAUGUUAGCGGCGGACGGGUGAGUAACACGUGGAUAACCUACCUAUAAGACUGGGAUAACUUCGGGAAACCGGAGCUUAUACCGGAUGAUCUUCUGAAGCGCAGGGUUCAAAGGUGAAAGACGGUCUUGCUGUCACGUCUAGAUGGAUCCGCGCUGCAUUAGCUAGUUGGUAAGGUAACGGGUUACCAAGGCAACGAUGCAUAGCCGACCUGAGGGGGUGAUCGCCCACACUGGAACUGAGCCACGGUCCAGACUCCUACGGUAGGCAGCAGUAUGGAAUCUUCCGCAAAGGGCGAAAGCCUGACGCAGCAGGGCCGCGUGAGUGAUGAAGGUCCUCGGAUCGUAAAACUCUGUUAUUAGUUAAGAACAUAUGUGUAAGUAACUGUGCACAUCUUGACGGUACCUAAUCAGAAAGCCCCGGCUAACUACGUG